UUGGAGGGCAAGUCUGGUGCCAGCAGCCGCGGUAAUUCCAGCUCCAAUAGCGUAUAUUAAAGUUGUUGCAGUUAAAAAGCUCGUAGUUGAAUUUCGGGAUUAGUACGCUGGUCGUGCCUUCGGUACGUACUGGUGUUACUGAUUCCUACCUUCUGACGAACCAUCAUGUCAUUAAUUUGGUGUGGUGGGGAAUCAGGACUGUUACUUUGAAAAAAUUAGAGUGUUUAAAGCAGGCUCGCGCUUGAAUACAUUAGCAUGGAAUAAUGAAAUAGGACGUUGAACCUAUUUUGUUGGUUUCUAGGAUUGACGUAAUGGUUAAUAGGGAUAGUUGGGGGCAUUAGUAUUCAAUUGUCAGAGGUGAAAUUCUUGGAUUUAUUGAAGACUAACUACUGCGAAAGCAUUUGCCAAGGAUGUUUUCAUUAAUCAAGAACGAAAGUUAGGGGAUCGAAGACGAUCAGAUACCGUCGUAGUCUUAACCAUAAACUAUGCCGACUAGGGAUCGGAUGAUGUUAUUUUUAAUGACUCAUUCGGCGCCUUACGGGAAAC
rnacentral:rRNA from 1 species